AGAGUUUGAUCCUGGCUCAGGAUGAACGCUGGCGGCGUGCUUGAUGCAUGCAAGUCGAACGCAUCAGCAAUUAGUGGAAAGCCUCUUGAGGCGGGGAAGGGGAGAAAUCUCUGGAGCCGUGGAUGGGGGUCGGAAGCUUGACGCUGGUGAGUGGCGGAUGGGUGAGUAACACGUCGGUGACCUGCCCCAAAGUGGGGAAUAACUGCCCGAAAGGACAGCUAAUUCCGCAUGUGGUCUGUCGUUCGCUCGACAGAUUAAAGGCGAAAGCCGCUUUGGGAGGGGCUCGCGGCCGAUUAGCUAGUUGGUAGGGUAAUGGCUUACCAAGGCGAUGAUCGGUAGCUGGUCUGAGAGGAUGAUCAGCCACACUGGCACUGACACACGGGCCAGACUCCUACGGGAGGCAGCAGCAAGGAAUAUUGCACAAUGGGCGAAAGCCUGAUGCAGCAACGCCGCGUGGGCGAUGAAGGCCUUCGGGUUGUAAAGCCCUUUUCUGCGGGAAGAGCAAGGACGGUACCGCAGGAAUAAGUCUCGGCUAACUACGUGCCAGCAGCCGCGGUAAUACGUAGGAGACGAGCGUUAUCCGGAUUUACUGGGUGUAAAGCGCAUGUAGGCGGGUUCUCAAGUCGGGCAUGAAAUCUUUCGGCUUAACCGGGAGGGGUGGUCCGAUACUAGGAGCCUUGAGGGCAGGAGAGGGAAGCGGAAUUCCCGGUGUAGUGGUGGAAUACGUAGAUAUCGGGAGGAACACCAGUGGCGAAGGCGGCUUCCUGGCCUGUGCCUGACGCUAAGAUGCGAAAGCGUGGGUAGCAAACGGGAUUAGAUACCCCGGUAGUCCACGCCGUAAACGAUGGAUACUAGGUGUUGGUGGCCCUUUACCCCACCAGUGCCGAAGCUAACGCGAUAAGUAUCCCACCUGGGGACUACGGUCGCAAGACUAAAACUCAAAGGAAUUGACGG
rnacentral:rRNA from 1 species